CACGCCGCAGUCAGGAGCCGCUUGUUUUGAUUGCCGCAAACAUUCCAGUGUGUUUUGCCAGUGGCCGAGAGAAGCUUGGGUCAGAUUUCCAUCGCGAGUCAUCCUCUUGCUUGUCAGGAGCCAGGAUACCGUUUGUGGCAGGUUUGUCUGCCGCAGUCGUCACAGCCGUAUUUUCGUCUUUCUCCGCACUCGCAAUCGUCAGGAAUCACAGGAAAUGGUCAACCCAGCCAGGUUGUGCUUAGUUGGCUUUGGAUGAGGAUAUUGAUGGAUUUAGUGGCGCGCUGUCUGGAAUAUUAGGGACCAGUGAAGAUGGACAAAUCCCCCGCCGCAGUCGUCUAGGCUUGGACCAGAAGAAUUCGAUGGCUGUGUCAGAUAAGUUUAUGAUUUAAUUAUGUUUAUUGCGCAUUUAGUUUUAAAGAGUUUUUAAUUUUUUAUUUCUCGCAGAUUUGUCCAUGGAAGCAGUCACGGAUUUUCGGUUGCCAAAAAGCCCUUUAAAGCAGGUAAGAAGUUUUUGGUCUAAUUUGUUAAUUGUGUAUAUGUUAAUUAUUUUGAUUUUUUAUUAUAUUACAGGCGCAGCGGAAGAAAUUUUUUGUUGUUACUGGAUCGUGUUUGAGUCAGAUAAGUUUAUAGUUAAAUUUUUUGUUAAUGCGCAUUUAGCGCAUUUUGAAGAUUUUUUGUUUUUAUUUUUAUUUUUUGCAGAUUCAUCCAUUGCAGCAGUCAGAGUUUGGGGGCCAAAAAUCAUUUAAAGCAGGUAAGUAGCUUUUAAGAUUAGAUGUAUUUAUUGCGCUUGUGUAUUUUUAUUUUUUUUUGUAGACGUAUCCCUCGCCGCAGUCGUGUUUACCAGGACCCUGGCAAGCCCAAGCGUGGUUCUGGCUGUGUGUUUGUGUGGAAUUUACUCGUCGCAGUUGAUAUGUGGUUGGGGUAGGCUUAUCCCUCGCCGCAGUCGAGUGUGGAAUUCCCUCGCCGCAGUCAAGGUGUGGUUAGGGUAGGAGAUGUAUCCCUCGCCACAGUCGUGUGCACCCGAAGCCGAUCAGGAGCCCAAAUGGGUUCCAAAAAUGUGUCCGUGUGGAAUUCCCUCGCCGCAGUCAAAGUGUGGUUUGGGUAGGAAGUGUAUCCCUCGCCGCAGUCGUGUGCACCCGAAGCCGGUCAGGAGUCCAAGCAUGGUUUAGAUGGGUGAAUGUGUUGUUGGUUUUAUUUAUUAUAAAUGAUGUGUUUUUAAAUAUGCCCUUUUUUCCGCAGGUUCGUCCAUACGAGCAGAUUGAAAAAAGCAAACUACCUGACAAGACCAAAACACUCCUCUUCAAACAAAUAAUAUCGCCCAUCUGGCACUACUCAAUAGCUGUUUGGGGAUCCUUAAUAUCAGAAACAAGCGCCAAACAAAUUCAAACGGUGGAGAAUAAGCUAAUAAGGAAAUCUAUUGGUGCAUCUAGGUAUAUAAAACAAUCCACUAUCAGAGAAAUACAUAACAUCAAAUCUUUCUCAGAAGUCUUUGCUCUCUCUAGCCAAAGGUUUGCGAUCUCAACAACAACCCACACAAAUCCACUUAUAAGAGAUCUCAUCCUAAAACCGUAUAUCCCCAAAAGGCUAGCGGCGAGCAGAUCCAGAUACCUAGAUCAAUACCAAAAAUACCUGCUUCCAGCUAGAGCAAACAUCCCUGAACCACCAAUAGAGCCCACCUACAAAAGCACAUACGGAUACACGGAAAGUGUGGAAAAACAAAUACUGAAUAAAUUAAGGGAAAAAUUUAGAAAAAGUCUUCCUUCAUUACAGGACAGGAAGAAAACGAAAAGGAAAUUAAAAAGAAAAAUGAGAGAAAAAAGGCAUUAAAAACUAAA